AAGAUCGUACUUUCAGGGAUCAUUUCUUGAGUGCGUAUCUUGGCCUCUCGAGGCAACCUUGACGACCUUCGUCAGUCCGAUGAUGACAGGUGGCGUCUCUCCACAGCAUGAGAGUGCAGUCGAAGUACUGACUUCGGUUGUGUCGAUGAUUGCUUGCCCUUCUGGGAAACGGAGAGUUCGCUAUCUGAGGGCU